rnacentral:lncRNA from 1 species
AAAUUAUCUUGAGCCUUGAGGCAUUGCGUUUGAGCGCACACAGAAACAGAGCUAAAGGAAAAGAACUUGACAGUCGAAGAUGCUCUAAAUAUAACAAAAGUAUAUUUCUACUUCUUGUGGUUAUUUUACUGUUGUCUCUUCGGUCAUCAUAUUUGAUUAAUUGUUCGAAUUCACACUCUCACUUAUUAUUUAAAACCAUUCUUAUGUGGCUUGCAAGCUAAUUAAGUUAAAGCAGAAACAAUACUAUAGACGAAGAUGAGCAAAUUGAAGGUGAUAAGUGCAUAUAUAGUGGCCAAGUCGCUUAUUAUACGUCUCUCAUACUAACAUGAUUCUGAAUUUGAAUUUCCAUGAAUAAUUGUUAGGCUGGUGCACUUAUUCUUGAAAGGGCGUUAAGCUACCUUAUGAAAUUGGAAAGUUAUUAUUGCUUGAAUGCAAGCACCGUCUUCUGUUGCAAAGGCUUUCCCCACAUGAUGAGAUGCUGUGAUUGUUACCGGACCCUUAAUUAUUUAACUCAGGAUUUUAUCAUCAACCACAUCAUCUUAUUCACCAUUUUGGAUAUAUAUAAAGAUUAAAAUUUCUAACAGUUGUUUCGGAUUCUUGUGUAAUCAGAUAAAUGGGGCAAAUGUCAGAACAAAGAUUGCUCAGUGCUGCUGGUAGGGCAAGGAUGAUGAUGGUGAGGAAGAUUGCUCACAAGCCAAGUAGAGCCCUCCAUUUUGAGAAAUAUCAUCCUCAAAUUUGAAUUGUUGAGCAUAUGAAGUGAUGCUAAAGCCUUAAUAUUAAGUCUUUCUGAAAGUUUCAUUUGAAUGAAUUUUCGGAGAUUGAAUGUUAUUAGAGUGAGUAAGAAAAUUAAGCACAUAUCUGCGAUUUGGGUUGUCGGUGAAUGUUCUCCUUUAAUAUUUGUACACACCCAUUUCUUAGUAAAAUUUUCUUCAUGUCUUUUACUAUGACAUAGGCUAAUAGCCGUACCAUAUA